AGUAGCUCAGUGGUAGAGCCCUCGCUUCGUAUGCGGGAAAAACUGGGUUGGACUCCCGGCU
rnacentral:tRNA from 1 species